rnacentral:rRNA from 1 species
AACGCGAAGAACCUUACCUGGGCUCGAACGGCUUUGGCAAACCCGUGGAAACAUGGGUCCUCCCGCAAGGGACCGGAGUCGAGGUGCUGCAUGGCUGUCGUCAGCUCGUGUCGUGAGAUGUUGGGUUAAGUCCCGCAACGAGCGCAACCCUUGUCCUGUUUUGGCAUGUGCCACGUAAGUGGCGCGCAACUAUCAGGAGACCGCCAACGAUAAGUUGGAGGAAGGUGGGGAUGACGUCAAGUCAUCAUGGCCUUUAUGUCCAGGGCCACACACGUGCUACAAUGGGCGGUACAAAGCGCUGCGAACCCGCGAGGGGAAGCUAAUCGCAAAAAACCGUCCUCAGUUCGGAUCGCAGGCUGCAAUUCGCCUGCGUGAAGCUGGAAUCGCUAGUAAUGGCAUAUCAGAACGAUGCCGUGAAUACGUUCCCGGGCCUUGUACACACCGGUAUCUC